ACUGACGCCACUUUCAGCCCCAUUUUGUGCGUACGCAACGGUUAUAAAUGAGACCCCAGGUCUCUCACUGUUUUGAAUACAUUUAAAGAACUCAGGGUUUGUGCUUUUCAAGCCAAAGGUUGAGGAAUACAGACCCUGUAUGUUCCAACAGCUAAUGCAAAAAGAACUCAUAAGAAGAGUUACAAUAAAAAAAAAUCAUUAUAAUUCCCUGUGUGUGUGUGUUUGUACGUAUCUCCGGAAUAAUGUGAAUAUUAAGUUCAACUCACUCUCUGAGAAGACCUGCACAUAGUUUGUGGAGCAAAAGCUUGAUUUCUCCCAGCUCAGAGGGUCGUUAGGGUGCAGUGGUUGGUUGGCCCACUGCUUCAGCGUAGCUCUGUCUCUCUGGCGGAUGUGAGGCUUUUGUAGGGGAUGGUGUCUUCUUCCUUGGCUGUGGAGUUUUUCCUUGUGAUGGGGUGAUGGAUGGUAGAUGCUUGGGGGACGGAGGCCAGCAGGUGAAUGGCAUAUUGCUCUGCAUGAAGGGUGGGGGAGGGUAGGGGUAUGGAGGAUGGGGCUGUGAGCUGGUUGGAUUCUGUCCUAGGGCCACAUCUUUUAGGCCUCUGGCAAAUUUUCUGACUCCGUCCUUGUGAAUAUGGAGUCUGUCGUACAGAUCCUGUGGGCCGAUGGAGGGAUGAUGGGCUAUAUAGACGUUAGGCAGGGCAGUGCAGCUUCUUGUUAGCUCUGCAUUUAUGUCAUGGAUAAUGUGGGGUGGGAAAUCUGUGCGUUGAAGCAAAGUAGAGACCACAGUGCGGGAUUCUGGAAACUCCAUGCUUGCUCUCUCUGCAACCUUUUUUAUGGCUUCUGCAGUCCUGUGGCGCUGAGAAUGCAAGUCAUUUGUCCCAGUGUGGAUGAUGAUGGUGUUGGGUUUGCCAAAGGAGUCCUGAUUAAGGAGACGGAGGGCUUGGUAAGUGUUGUUACAGCGUUUGGAGGUUACUCGUCCAGGGAACCGUUUUUCGGGGUUCAGGGACUUCCCAUUGGAAUCCAUGAUGAGUACCACUUGUGUGUCAGGUGUUGUAGGGUUCUGUGAGGCAAGCUGUGAAUCAGUGGAUGUGGGUGUGGGGGAGUGAGGAGAGGUUUCCUCGUGAGGUUGUGUUUCAAUUUUGUUGUCUGCUUAGAAGGCUGUGUGCUGUUUUUGUUACCAGUGUGGGAUGAGUGUUUGUUUGAGGUGUAAGGCAAGUUGUUGUUUGUGGUCUUGGGUGUGUGUUUUGAGUGCUUAGUGGGAGGGGCUGCGCCUCUGUGUAUGCAAGUGUGUUUGUGACUUUGUUUCUGCCUAUGAUUGUCAAUUGCUGCUUUAUUUACCUCCAUCUGCUCCUUCAUCUGCAUUACUUCCUGUGAGAGGGCUCUCUCCUUGUUGCUGGCGUCUUCUUUCACCUUGGUUAUCUGGGCUCUGAGGGUUAGAUUUUCCUCCUUGAUGGUCUGGAAGGCAUAUCUGAGCUCAGAGAUGGAUGUCUCAUUGUCAACUCUUUGUUGCUAGAGCUCCUCUUUGGGUUCCCUAAAAGAGUCACAAGGGGUGUUGUCGAACCUGGCCAGCAUGAGCUCUUUGAAUUCAGCCAAGUCUAGCUCAAGAUGAGCCAGAGAUUCUCUGAACUGCUUGUCAGAGCUGGGGGAUGCUGGUGGAGCCGGUGCUAAGACUGGUGUUUCCUUCACUACCUGCUUCUCAGCAGUGUGUUUUUCCACUCUACCUCUGCUUUCAGCAUGGGGAAUGCUCUCUCGAAGGAGCUCAGGCUGUUUUUCAUUACCCUGGACUAGGAACGUACCCAUUUUGUAGUAGGAGAUGGUCAACUCAGGGUCAUCUACUGUAUGUUUAGGGUCUCAUCUUCACAUAUUGUUAGCCUGCCACCACGUCCAAUUCCCCCUUUGCGUAUGUUGUCGUAGUGUUUGCAGAGGACAGAUGUCCACUCAGGACCAUGAUUGGUGUGAAAAAUGAGGGUACAUUUUACCCUUUUGCCUUUUUGAACUGCAAAGUCUGUAUAAAGGACCUCUGGGUUUUGUUUAAGGACCUGCUUUUGGUUGCACCAGCAGAACGUGAAGCCGAUCAUAAGUUUGGGUGUAAAGUCUGCCUUAACCCUACGCUCGACGUAGCUAGUUUCAAACUAAAGGUGUUCUAAAUUGUUGUUGUCCCACCAUAACUUAAGUUGUAACGUUACUAGUAGUGCGUAAAUUGUACCAGUGUCGAUUUUAAUGACGUUUAGAUAAUUUCAAGCCAAUCUUUGACAGCCAACAAUGUAAACAGGAAGUACUGGCAAGUUUCCACCUUAUCCGAGUGAAGGGCAAACAAAACAGUUUCAGUCAUUUAUUCUCUAAAAUGUACUUACACGGUAUAGGCGUGAGGUUAAGCUAUUUGAUGGCGGAUUUUAUAAUAAAUAAAUAAAUAUGCUUUGUAUGCUAUUCGUUGUGUGUGUCGUGAGUUUUUGUCUGAGUUAGCCUCUACCUAGUCUGGCUGAGUGGAAAUGGACAGCGUCUAGCGUCGGAUUCCACCGCUACUCCUCCCCUUCCUGUUGCAGGCUUUCCCGUAUUGUGCUCCCCCACAAACUCGGAAACUAGUCAGUAUGGAGCGUUUUGAAGAGGACUUUGACGGCGCUGUAAAGCUAGCAUGUUUGGCUCUUUCCGUCGAAAAUUGCAAAGAACUUCAAAAGAUUUGCUUACAGCAUUUGCUGAGGAAGAAAGAUGUUCUUGCACUAUUUCGGAUGGACACCGCUGCUACUUCCUGGGGUUAGCCCCGCCCUAGACGAUUGUGAUUGGUUUAAAAAAAAUAAAAACAGGCCAGCCCAGUUUCCCCCCGGAUAGACUACUCUAAAUGGCGUGGUUCCAGACCAUUCUACUUGCUGUAGUUUGGUCUGGCUUUGCGAGACUAGCCUCUACCUGGCUAUGCAUUGUAUGGAAUAGCUCUAAAUAUGUUGGUUUGUACAUGGGCUUGAGUUGUUUAGAAGACCCAGUGGCAAAAUAUCUCAGCCAAACACACUUGCAUCGCUGUACUUGGAGCCGAAUUUCGGUUUGUGUUGUGCUGCAGGUCGUUGUCAAGAAGGCCGGUUAUUCUCAGUAAUUCCGCCCGGCAAAACCGAAAUCGCGCAUAUAAAUCAACAUCAUCAUACUGAAGAAAUGGAUCGAUACGGUCACGGAAAAUCCGUUCCCGGCGCAAACCGUGUUGAAACUCCUCUUCCCAUUGCUCAAAAUGAAUAACAUCUAUUGUGUUGAAAUCUUAGACGUAUUUAACGGUCUUUAUCAUUAGAAUGGAACUUACACCAGAGGGGAGGUGUAAAAUAUAAGAUAUAACUUAGUGUUACGUUGAAACUAUCUGCUUGGUGCAACUGCUAUUUUUUUAGUAGAGUGUAAAGUCGAAUGUUUGGGUGAUUUACGUUCAACGUAGCCUAAGUGGGACCUUACGUUCUGCUGGUGCAACCAGCUGCUGCUCUUUGUGUUUUUUCCUAGCCUCAGCACUUAUUAGGAAAGACCACUUCCCUGUAUUCAGCUGGCUGCUUGGUUGCCAUGGCGAUAUAAUGUUAACUGUUCUACUCCAACUGUCACUGUCCAAGGUUAACAGUUAGUUAGCUAUGCUAACCUGCUAAUCCCACUUAAUGGCUAGCAGAUAACAGAAUGUAAAUCAAGUGUAGUUUUCUGAGAUAAGGCUUCUUGGGCAAGUGUCCUUGGCCUGUGAUCAGGCUUACCUUGGUUAAGUCCAGUUUUUUUUUGAUUUAACUCCUGUUGUAGGCUAGUCACCCAGUCAGUUCUCCUUCAGUUAUCUUCAGGUUUCUUUAAGAUGUUCCUUUUCUUUUCUUUUGUUGUAAUCCACAUAAAAAUCCAGGAAAAGUAUCUGAAGUGGUUUCUUAUUACUUCCUAUCCUGCAUUCACAUUUAGUGUUUCUGUUGUACUCACUUUUAGGCUAAUUUAUCAUAUUUUAACAGGAGCUCAUCAUAGAUCUGACUGCAUACCACUCUCUCUCUCAUAUUGUCUCUUUCUUUCUUUCUUUCUUUCUUUCUUUCUUUCUUUCUUUCUUUCUUUC